CCUACGGGUGGCAGCAGUGGGGAAUAUUGCACAAUGGGGGAAACUCUGAUGCAGCGACGCCGCGUGAGUGAGGAAGUAUUUAGGAAUGUAAAGCUCUAUUAGUAGGGAAGAAAAUGACGGUACCUGACUAAGAAGCCCCGGCUAACGCCGUGCAAGCAGCGGUGGUAACACGGAGGGGGCAGGCGUUAUCCGGAUUGACUGGGUUUAAAGGGAGCGUAGACGGCUAAACAAGUAAGAAGUGAAAACCCAGGGCUCAACCUUGGGACUGCUUUUGAAACUGAGGAGCGAGAGUGCAGGAGAGGUAGGCGGAAUUCCUGGUGUAGCGGUGAAAUGCUUAGAUAUUAGGAAGAACACCAGUUGCGAAGGCGGCUUACUGGACUAUAACUGACGUUGAGGCACGAAAGCGUGGGGAGCAAACAGGAUUAGAUACCCCAGUAGUC
rnacentral:rRNA from 1 species